UUUAAAACCUUAAAUUCUUGAAAUAACCUGCCUCUCAGGAAUCAUAGGUCCCAAAGAAUUGUAAAGCUUUCCCUUAAGCUGUGGAAUGGCUCCAUUGCUAACUAUGAUUACUUAAGUCUCAGAAUAGAAGGAUGUAAUAAAUCUGACAGUAUUUGUUCUGGUUUGUGACUAAGCAAAACUGUAUAAUAUUAAAUCAGAUGUUGUUAUAAACAUAUGAAAUGGCACAUUUUUUUCCAACUUGGGGCAUUGUGGCAUGAAGCAUCCCCCCAAAAAUGUUUUUGCAUUCUUGGAUACCAGCUCUGGUUUCUGCUAGAUUUCCUUCUUUCUGAGCAUGGAUGCUAAAUAACAGUGCUUCUUUUUAGCCAUCUGUAUUUCCUGUGAGUUAGCAGGGCUGAGGAGACCUAUUCUCAUUUCUUUGUGUGCUUCUCUAUGGGGUGGAACUGGAGACUCAGGCAGAGCGUGUGGAUUUCUGUGUGUGUGUGUGUGUCUGUAUGUGUGUCAGGUGGAGGAAUGAAUGGCAUCCUAACACCCUGGAAUGUUUGGGUUGGAAAGGCUCUUGGAUACAAACUAGUUAACUCACCUCCUCAUUACCCAGGUCAUAUUUUUAAGCUUAGGUCCAAAUGUGUGGGAGAGAGAAUGCUGGAAAGAUCUGGAGGUUGGAAGGUUGGAAGGAGUUUUGAAAUGGGAGGGAAUUCAGCCAUUGCUUUCACUCCUCUUCCCGCCUGAGUCCUCAACAAAAGGGACAUUUCCCCUUCUUUUAAAGACUUCCUGAUAAAAGGAGUCUUCAUGGACACCCCCAUAAGCAUAAGGCAGCACAAGGGAGGGAGCUCCGGUGGUGGCGGAGUUGGGACACUCAGGCACAUGGUUGCAGAGGCGCAAAGGUGUGACCGUUCUAGGUGUAUCUUCCACAGGGCCCUCGUGGAAGGGACCAACUGCAUCCCCUAAAACUGCCAGGGCAGCUUCCCAUGAUGCUGGGCUGAGUCCAGAUUUCUAGAUUUGGCUGGUGCAAGCUCCUGGUUUGCUAGAAAAUUGCUGAUGAAAUAGGAGGGUUGUCAGGCCAUGGGACAAAUCUGCCGCUGUCCUCAGGGGUCACCCUGCCUGGCUUUGUGUGCUGACAGUCAUGACCCUUUGGACGUCUGCAUGUUUGUCUCUGGGUGAGUGGCUGUGUUGGCAUUUAGUUUUCAUUUGCUAUAUGAUGAGCAAAGAACCACAAAGAAGUCCUAAACACACCUGGUGCUAAAAAGUGAUUACCCUUGCCCUUGUUUUAGGACUUACAGCUACUUUUUCUUUCUGUAGCUUCCAAAUAUUUUAUUUUUUAUAAUUAAGAAAGUAAAUUUAUAUUAAAUUUCUUUUCUGAGACAGAGUCUCGCUCUGUCACCCAGGCUGGAGUGCUAUGGUGCAAUCUCAGUUCACUGCAACCUCCGCCUCCAGGACUCAAGCCAUCCUCCCACCUCAGCCUCAUGAGUAGCUGGGACCCAGCUCUGCCUGGCUAAAUUUUGUAUUUUUUGUGGAGAUGAGGUUUUUUAUGUUGCGCAGGCUGUUCUUGAACUCCUGGGCUCAAGUGAUCCACGUGUCUUGGCCUCCCAAAAUGCUGUGGGAUUACAGUUUUGAACCACUGUGCCCAGCCUAUGUUAAAAUUAAUUUUUCCAUUUAAAAUGUCGUUAAUUAAAAUUCAUAAAAUUUAUAUCAAAAUCAUAGCCUAGAAUCUCUGCAUAUGUAAGAAUCACUUUUUAAAAAGAUGAUUUAGGAUGUUGAUAGCAUCUUAUGAAUUGUUUAGAGCUGCACUGUCUGACAUGGUAGCCAUUAACCACGUGUGGUCAUCGAGUGCUUGACACGUGGCCAGUAGAAAUUAAGAUGCGCUGUGUAUGUAAAAUACACACCCAAUUUCAAAAACUCAGUACAAGU
rnacentral:lncRNA from 1 species